UCUUCCCUCUUUGCCUCUUUGCACGCACACGCGCUUCUCUCUCUCUUUAAAUAUUUUAAACUCUACAACACAAGAUUUUGAGAGAAGGAAAAAAAAUAUAAAAAUAAAAGUAAAAGCAAGAGGAGGCGGCGGUAGCCCUCGGGGAUGGGAGUAAUAAUUUGGCAGAGACUAAUAGAAUAAUGGAACUUUAUUUAACUUAUUAGGGGAUGAGGGUAGUAAUCUGGCAGAGACUAAUAGAA
rnacentral:lncRNA from 1 species